rnacentral:lncRNA from 1 species
UGCCACUGUUGCUGGAGAAAUGUCACUGCUAGAGAAUAGAAGACUAUUAUUCCAAAGGGUAUUUGAGACUGACUGAAUCAGGUCUGGAACAUUAUUGAAAUGAGACCCACAAAGGAAGAGAUACUGAGUUACAGAGUCAUUUCUACUUGAAAUUGGAGAAAACAAUAACGUAUUUCAAAAGGUCUGGAAAAGGGAAUUUUGAAGAAGACCUACUCGGAAUUGAAAACCCAUUGACCAACGCCAGCUGCGUCUAUAGGCCUGGUGUCCAAUGCCUGCAGGGUUCAUGCUGCUUUUCUGGACUUGGCCCCUUGUGAGUCUGUGGGUGCACUAUUCCCAGGGAAACUUCAGUUCUUACACACAUCUUUUCAGCAAUGGCAUUUGCAAAGGGCCUCUCAGAGCCAUGAGAGGGGCAUAUUCAAGCCCCGACACCCAGGGAAGAAUCCCUAGUGUAAUGAUUCUUCUGGGAUGGGGCUAGGUUUCCUGGUGCUACUGUAAGAGCUUCCAGGGAGAUAUACAGAGACCCUGGGGUAGUCCUUCAACUCUUGCAGAGGAGCCUUCAAAUGCUAGCCUCAUUGCUGAUAAGCAAAGGGGCAGAGUUGCUAGGAUGAGGUGAGGAGAUCGAGACCAUCCUGGCUAACACGGUG